rnacentral:rRNA from 1 species
UACGUAGGCAGCGAGCGUUGUUCGGAGUUACUGGGCGUAAAGGGUGUGUAGGCGGUUGUUUAAGUUUGGUGUGAAAUCUCCCGGCUCAACUGGGAGGUGCGCCGAAUACUGAAUGACUAGAGUGCGGGAGAGGAAAGUGGAAUUCCUGGUGUAGCGGUGAAAUGCGUAGAUAUCAGGAGGAACACCGGUGGUGUAGACGGCUUUCUGGACCGUAACUGACGCUGAAACACGAAAGCGUGGGUAGCAAACAGG